UUGGGCUUAAAGUGCGUGUAGGCGGCCUUGUAAGUCAGAUGUGAAAGCCCACGGCUUAACCGUGGAACUGCAUUUGAAACUGCUUGGCUAGAGUACGGGAGAGGGUGGCGGAAUUCCCGGUGUAGGAGUGAAAUCCGUAGAUAUCGGGAGGAACACCAGUGGCGAAGGCGGCCACCUGGACCGUAACUGACGCUGAGACGCGAAAGCGUGGGGAGCAAACAGGAUUAGAUACCCCGUA
rnacentral:rRNA from 1 species